GACGAACGCUGGCGGCGUGCUUAACACAUGCAAGUCGAGCGGAAAGGCCCUUUCGGGGGUACUCGAGCGGCGAACGGGUGAGUAACACGUGAGUAAUCUGCCCUUGGCUUUGGGAUAACUACCGGAAACGGUGGCUAAUACCGGAUACGACCACUCCUUGCAUGAGGUGGUGGUGGAAAGUUUUUCGGCCAGGGAUGUGCUCGCGGCCUAUCAGCUUGUUGGUGGGGUAAUGGCCUACCAAGGCUUCGACGGGUAGCCGGCCUGAGAGGGUGACCGGCCACACUGGGACUGAGACACGGCCCAGACUCCUACGGGAGGCAGCAGUGGGGAAUAUUGGACAAUGGGCGGAAGCCUGAUCCAGCAACGCCGCGUGAGGGAUGACGGCCU
rnacentral:rRNA from 1 species